GUGCUACCUUUCCAGCAGCAUGUAUACUAAAAUUGGAAUGAUGCAGAGAGGAUUAGCAUGGGCCCUGCGCAAGGAUGACAUGCAAAUUUGUGAAGUGGUCCAUUUUUUU